rnacentral:rRNA from 1 species
UACGGGGGGGGCAAGCGUUGUUCGGAAUUACUGGGCGUAAAGGGCUCGUAGGCGGCCAACUAAGUCAGACGUGAAAUCCCCAGGCUUAACCUGGGAACUGCGUCUGAUACUGGAUGGCUUGAGUUUGGGAGAGGGAUGCGGAAUUCCAGGUGUAGCGGUGAAAUGCGUAGAUAUCUGGAGGAACACCGGUGGCGAAGGCGGCAUCCUGGACCAACACUGACACUGAGGAGCGAAAGCCAGGGGAGCAAACAGG